AGAGCGAACGCUGGCGGCAUGCUUAACACAUGCAAGUCGCACGGGCAGGGGUAACCCUGUCAGUGGCGGACGGGUGAGUAACGCGUAGGUAUCUAUCCUUGGGUGGGGGACAACUGUGGGAAACUACAGCUAAUACCGCAUGAUAACUGAGGUUUAAAGGCGCAAGUCGCCUGAGGAGGAGCCUGCGUACGAUUAGCUAGUUGGUGGGGUAAAGGCCUACCAAGGCUGUGAUCGUUAGCUGGUCUGAGAGGAUGAUCAGCCACAUUGGGACUGAGACACGGCCCAAACUCCUACGGGAGGCAGCAGUGGGGAAUAUUGGACAAUGGGCGAAAGCCUGAUCCAGCAAUGCCGCGUGUGUGAAGAAGGUCUUCGGAUUGUAAAGCACUUUCGACGGGGACGAUGAUGGACGGUACCGUAGAAGAACGCCCCGGCUAACUUCGUGCCAGCAGCCGC
rnacentral:rRNA from 1 species